rnacentral:piRNA from 1 species
GAUGGAUAGGUACCUGGUGUACGGCGAU